rnacentral:lncRNA from 1 species
AUGAGCAGGAGGUGGACCAGCACAGUAAGGGGGAGCAGGAGGACAAGAGGUCAAGACCAGCCCAAGCCAGCCCCUUGAGGGUCAUAUUGGGGUCCCUGUAAAUAUUUCACUUGAGUGAUCCUUCGGUUUGAUGUUCAGACCUGGGGAACCUCAAGGUACUGAUUGAGUUCUGGAUGGGAAAUCAUUGGCCUGAUUCAAGACUAACCACAAGAGCUUAAUGUUCACAUCAGGAUCCUCCUUACACUGCUAACAAGCAGUGGGAGAGGAGGAGUAAAGGAAGAUCAGGGUUCAGGGACAGCUGGUUGUGAGGGUCCAGGUGCUCAGGUCCAUCCCAUCCUGGUCACCCUCUCCUGUGUGGAGAGAGGACGCUCCCCCAAAGGAAAGUAAAAUUUCAGGCCAACAGUUCAGGGCUGCUCCUGGCCAAUGGGAUGGGCUCCACUGUGGAUGGAAUAGCAGUGACCCCAGAGUACUGUCUGUUGCCUGGCACCCACUCUGCUUUGUGUGCCCAGGCAGUUGGAGGCCCUUGUGGUUGCUGACCUGCUCUGAUGUUUGCUCACCUGCACAUCUUGCUCUGACCCACCUGAUCCCCACGCCUUCCUGGUUGCCUUGUUAUCAUUUUGAGAGGAGAAGCCCAUAUCCAACAGUGAGAGUCAGAAAGGCAGUUGGAGGCCUUCCUGAUAUCUGACCUGCUCUGACACUCUCCUGCCCUCCAUGUUCUGACCCAUGGACCUGAAGUUUGGUCCAUUUAUACAGCAGAGACCAGCUCUAACAGCAAGAGCUCAGAAAGGCUAAUGGAGUCCCUCAUCAUCGCUGACCUGUUCUGACACUCACUCACCUGCCCACCCUGCUCUGACCCACCUGAUCCCCAAACUCACCUGGUUACUUUUUUACCCUUUUGAGAGGAGACGCCCAAGUCCAACAGUGAGAGUCAGAAAGGCAUUUGGAGGCCCUCAUGGUCACUGCCAUGCUCUGAUGCCUCCUCGUCUGUCUGCCCAACCUUCUCUGACCCACUUGAUUCCCCAACCUGAUUGGUUACUUUAUUACCAUUUUGAGAGGAGAGGCCUAAAUCCAACAGUGAGAGUGAGAAAGGCAGUUGGAGGCC